GUAUAGGAUAAUACAAUUUUCAAUUUGAGUUUAUCAAUAUUUGUUAGUGUACGGGUAUUAAUUAAAUAACUCGUGUAUAUUACCUUCCUAACUUCAUAAUUACAACAGUUGCACAACCAUGGUGCAAAGUAUGUUGGCUUUAAUGUACCUAUAUUAAAAUUACUGUAAUUAAAAUUGUGUUUUAAAUGAAUCAAAUACAUUAAUAAAAUUAAUAGGGAGCCAUAUUGUUUCAACGGUAUAGGGUAAUUUAGUUAAAUACUGAACGAAACAAAUUGCACACAAAACAACGAUUCUGAGUGAAGCAUGUUAAAGUAAUUAUUUUUGAAUUUAAAUUAAAA